AGCAGCAGCCGCGGGAAUACGUAGGUGGCAAGCGUUGUCCGGAAUUAUUGGGCGUAAAGGGCUCGCAGGCGGUUUCUUAAGUCUGAUGUGAAAGCCCCCGGCUCAACCGGGGAGGGUCAUUGGAAACUGGGAAACUUGAGUGCAGAAGAGGAGAGUGGAAUUCCACGUGUAGCGGUGAAAUGCGUAGAGAUGUGGAGGAACACCAGUGGCGAAGGCGACUCUCUGGUCUGUAACUGACGCUGAGGAGCGAAAGCGUGGGGAGCGAGCAGGAUUAGAUACCCCGGUAGUCCCUGUCUCUUAUAC
rnacentral:rRNA from 1 species